rnacentral:rRNA from 1 species
UGAGGAACAUGACCUUCGGCGGGGGACAGCCGGCCCAACGGCCGGGUAAUACCGCGUACGACCUUCGAGGGGCAUCCCUUGAUGGUGAAAGCCGCAAGGCGCCGAUGGAGAACUUCGCGGCCUAUCAGCUAGUUGGUGAGGUCAUGGCUCACCAAGGCGACGACGGGUAGCUGGUCCGAGAGGAUGACCAGCCACAUUGGGACUGAGACACGGCCCAGACCUCCUACGGGGAGG